AGCCUCGCUCACACGGGCGUUACAGUUCGUUGCCAAGACGCCAAAUACCCAGUUGGCGGCGCCGGGGAGCGUGCUGCAGCUGUAGGUGUUCCACCUCAGUUCUUCAUAGACCUGGUAGACGGGGAGUAGGAGGAGAAGCAGAUGCCGGUUCCGCAGUGGCGAUGGCUACAGCCAUGGGACGGAUGAUCUUCGUGGGAGAUUGAGGCCCGCGUGGAUGCCGAUCUUUUCUGGAGCCCCAUGAGGUUUGCCUUAAUUAACUAUGGUUCUAGUGCACAUUAUAUUCUAUGGUCAGAACUGCUGCUUUUUAGAAGGUGGAAGUGAAACUUGUACCCAAGUUUCCAUGUCCAUGACAGCACCAUAGAAAACUUUUCUUUUUGUUAGCAAGAUAGGAGGAAUUAUGAGUCUGACUUGAAGCUUGGCCACAAGAGCUAACAUGGUCUGAAUAAUUAAAUAUACCAUAAUAUAGUACAUGGAAUUGAUUCUACAAGAUUCUUGGUAGGUAGCAUAGAAACUAGCAAGACCGAAGGCAGUUGCCAUCAGCAGAAAGAUAAGCGUUGUCAUGUUCUCUUACAUAGGCACUCAAUGAAGCUUAAUCCCAAUUAUGAACAUACGGGCAAUGUUGAUCGAUCAUGUGGGCCUAGCUUGUCAUGCCUUAUCUUCCACACUUCUACGUUGGUCCAUGGCAUAGGGGGAUAUGAAUGGCCAUAUGUUCGUCUGUGUGGGGGGGGGAAUCCUGAUAGGGUUGGAAAUUUUAACAUCUUUCUGCGGCUCCACGAGAAUUCCAUGGGGCCUCCCCUUGCCUCCGACCGCUCCCAUAGCCUACUUUGUCGGCGCGUAAUCAUUGUCGCCUGCGCUACUCCAAGAGUUGUGUUUUCCCUCGUAUGGAGACUUGUCAGGGAUGGAUCAUAACGAUCUUUUGAUCCGUCGGCAGCUAUUGGAGCUUUGAUCUAGCACCAAAUUGUGUCGGGCGGAGUACGAGUAGCAGGUCUGGAUGGCUUCACGCGAGACACAUUAGGAUCAACCUAGGUUUGGGCCCUCUUAAGAGAGGUACAAACCAAAUCCUACUACUAAGAGUUGUAUUGCUCAUAUGCAGCUUGAGAUCUGAGUGAUCACAACCUAGGGUUCUUCGUUACAAAGGGCAGCCGCGAUGGCGGCAGAGAGGUGGGAGAUGAAGGGUUAGGUGAGGAUCCCUAAAUAUCACUAAGUUAGAUGAUUCUAGAUGAAUUGUUAGAAAGAGUGGAGAUUUAUCGAUCCUUGAUCGAGAGCCCCCUAGCUCGCCAUACAUGGCUCUAGCCAGUUUACAAAUGGGUGCACCCAUCCGGGUCAAACCGAACACUUGUUCGUCAGGCGCGCCUUCUGGUUUGCUUGUACUCCAAGAGAAUUAUGUGCCCUACUCCCUGUAAAGAAAGUGGGCUCUAAGUCAUCGUUCCGGCCCACUUGACGCUACCGGGUCGACUUUUGUCCUUCUUGACUAUACAUGGGUGGUAUGCCAUCAUCAAUAGCUCCC